CAUGUCUUUUUGAUUAUAAUUUAAAGUCUAAUCUGCACAAUGAGAAUUAAAUUGCCGCAGUAUUUUGACUGUGCAAAGGUAGCAUAAUAAUUAGUUUCUUAAUUAGGAACUGGAAUGAAUGAUUGGACGAGAAAAUUUCUGUCUCUUAUUAAAGAAUUAUUGAAUUUUAUUUUUAAGUUAAAAAGCUUAAAUAGUUAUAAAAGACGAGAAGACCCUAUAGAGUUUUAUAUUUACUAAUAAUUGAAUAAUAGGAAUUUUUUUUUGUUAUUAAGUAUUUGGUUGGGGUGAUUUGGAGAUUAGAAUAAUUCUUUAAAGUUUUAAUUGAUGAUUAUUAAUUUCUUUUAUCUAAAUUUUUUAAAUUUAAAAUUAAUUACCUUAGGGAUAACAGCGUAAUUUUUCUUUAAAGCUCUUAUUGAAAGAAAAUUUUGCGACCUCGAUGUUGGAUUAAAAUUAAUUUUUGGUGCAGUAAUUUAAAAAUUAGGUCUGUUCGACCUUUAAUAUUUUACAUGAUCUGAGUUUAAACCGGUGUAAGCCAGGUUGGAUUCUAUCUUUAGAUUUAUUAUAUAUUUUAGUACGAAAGGACCAAAUAUGUGUUAUAUAUUAAUUA
rnacentral:rRNA from 1 species